rnacentral:rRNA from 1 species
UACGGAGGGUGCGAGCGUUGUCCGGAUUUAUUGGGUUUAAAGGGUGCGUAGGUGGCUGAUUAAGUCAGUGGUGAAAUACAGCCGCUCAACGGUUGAGGUGCCAUUGAUACUGUGAGACUUGAGUACAGACGAGGUAGGCGGAAUUGACGGUGUAGCGGUGAAAUGCUUAGAUAUCGUCAAGAACACCGAUAGCGAAGGCAGCUUACUAGGCUGUAACUGACGCUGAGGCACGAAAGUGUGGGGAUCAAACAGG